CCCCUCGUUUUUCUCAAACUUUAUUUUUAUUUUUUCUCUCAUUUUUUUUCUCAAUUUUUUUAAUUCUUCGCUUUUUUCUUAAUCAUUAUAUUUUUCUUGCCUUUUUUAUUCUCACUCUUUUUUUUAUUUCUCUAUUUUUUUUAUCGCUUUUUUCUUGAUCUUUAUUUCUUUUUCCCUUUUUUUCUCAAUUUUUUUAUAUCUCUAUUUUGU
rnacentral:lncRNA from 1 species